CCCCAUGUGCUGUAAACCGUUAACAUAUUUGGCUAUUAACCUAAAGGUUGGAGGUUCGAGUCCUCCCAGAGGCA
rnacentral:tRNA from 1 species